CAAUAGCGUAUAUUAAAGUUGUUGCAAGUUAAAAAGCUCGUAGUUGGAUUUCUGUUCUCGAGGAUCGGUCCGCCUCACGGUGAGCACUGGUUUUUCUUGGGGACAUCCUCUCGAAGGCGGGUGGUGCACUUAAUUGUGUGCUGCUUUGGAUUACGGGACCUUUACUUUGAAAAAUUUAGAGUGUUCAAAGCAGGCGUCGGCUUGAAUACAUUAGCAUGGAAUAAUGGAAAAGGACUUCAACCUCUUCUGUUGGUCUGAGAGGCUGUAGUAAUGAUUAAUAGGGAUAGUUGGGGGCAUUAGUACUUAACUGUCAGAGGUGAAAUUCUCCGAUUUGUUAAAGACUAACUUAUGCGAAAGCAUUUGCCAAGGAUGUUUUCAUUAAUCAAGAACGAAAGUUAGGGGAGUCAAAGAUGAUUAGAUACCAU
rnacentral:rRNA from 1 species